GUGAUAUAUAGAACACAUAUCAGAAUGAAAAACACCGUAUUUACUAUUGUACUUGUCGUCGUAUGCUGUCAUUAUGGUGAAUACAAGACACCUGGAUUUUUUGCAACGGCGUCACCAGCGUCUAUUCCCCAUAAGCAUUUUCUACCUAAUGACACAUCUGAGAAUAUAAUGUUCAACUACCUUGACACAUGCCUGAGGAACCACCUCGUCAAUACCACCACACCGGACGUGGUAGAUGAGUGGAAUGGCAGCAUCACACUAUUUUUAGUUCAUACAAUAUUUUCAGAUUGUUACACCGGGCGGAAUUCGACCAAAGGAUCAAUGCACUGUUCGGAGGUAGAUAUAGCCGGAGAGCUAGAUUGGUUUGGAGGUCUUGUAUCGCAUUGCCUCGAAGAUUAAGUGAACAUAUUCCGUUACAACUUGAACUGGAGCACCGACAAGAAAACGACCAGUAUCCUAUUAUACGUACCCAGAAAUUACUUGUAUACCAUGUUACGUGCAUUGUGAUGUGUACCAUUAUGUACAUGCCAAUAAACUGUGUAUAC